UCUCUACCUGAGGUCUGCAGACAGGCCCUGUGUUAACGGUUUCCGAAAGUCCCAUUUCCUUUCUACGUUCUUUCCUGUUUAUUAUUGUCUUUUCAUCUCAUUCUAGGAGAUACAACUUUUCGUUUUCGGAGGUUGAAUUUUGAUCAAGGGUAAAAACGGUGGUGGGAUUUCUGAGCAGGUAACCAGUUUGUUAAUGGUUGGUGUUUGUAUGCUACUGCUUUCCAAGAUGCACAUUGAAAAUGAAAUCCCAACUCAAACUUUCAAAACUAUUGGAUGUGAGUGGGUGUGUGUGUGUAACCAUUUCAUGUACAUUCAAGGCCUUUUGUAAUACAGUUCCUCUAGCUUGGUCUGUGACACUUAAGUUGAAUAGUUGCAUGAUUUCAAAGUAAGCUUGCUCUUGAAGUGUUAUGUUCUUAUAGCAAACAAAUUUAAUGUUGGCCCACCACUGAACUCUCACACUGUCAGUCCACUUGAUAAGGUUGAUUUAAAGUUGUUCUGGCGUUGUAGUGUCUCUCAGACUAUGUUUACUGUGAAAGGAACCAGGAACCGCCUUGAUCACUCUGAUGUCCUCACUGAAUGUUCCUGGCGGUCUGCUGCCUCUUGUACCCACAUCUCCCCAAGUUAAAUAAAGUACACACAAA